UUGCUUAUGUAUUUAUUGUAACAUUAAUUUAUAUGUGAAUUUUUGUAUCAAAAAUCUUCUAAAAGAAAUUGAUUUGUAAUUGCAGUAGGUAAUUUUAUUAAUAUUAAGGUGAUUUAGAUUUAGUAAAUGUUAAAAGGUUUGGUAAAAGCUGUGCCAGCAUCCGCGGUUAUUCAGCAAAAUCAAAUAAAUAUUAUUGGUUUUUGAGUAAUUAAUAUUAAUUAGAUAUAAAAAUUUAAGUAUUUUAAGGUGAAAUAUUUAUAAUAUUUAAAGGUUAUAUUAUUUGGUAUGAUUGUUGUGAAACUAAAAAUAUAAACUAGGAUUAGAUACCCUAUUAUUUUUAUUGUAAAUUAGUAAACUAGAGUAUUAGUAGUUAAGAUCUUUAAACUUAAAGAAUUUGGCGGUAUUAUAGUCUAUUUAGAGGAAUCUGUUAUGUAAUUGAUAAUCCGCAUUGAACCUUACUUAUAUUAUUUCUUGUAUAUCGCUGUUUAUGAAUAUACUUUUAGGUUAUUUUCUUAAUAUAAAAUUAAUUAGUAUUUCAAGUCAAGGUGCAGUUAUAUAUAAGUUGAAUAAUGGAUUACAAUAAAGUUUAUUUAUUACGGAUUUUUAUUGUAAUAUAAUUUAAAGGUGGAUUUAAUUGUAAUUAUAUAAAGAUUAUUAUAAUGAUUAAUAGCUCUAUAAUAUGUACACAUCGCCCGUCACUCUCAUUAUAAGGUGAGAUAAGUCGUAACAAAGUAGGUGUAUUGGAAAAUGUACCUAGAAAGAUUAAA
rnacentral:ncRNA from 1 species